UAAUUGAAGAGUUUGAUCAUGGCUCAGAUUGAACGCUGGCGGCAGGCCUAACACAUGCAAGUCGAGCGGUAACAGAGAGUAGCUUGCUACUUUGCUGACGAGCGGCGGA
rnacentral:rRNA from 1 species